rnacentral:rRNA from 1 species
AGAGUUUGAUCAUGGCUCAGAACGAACGCUGGCGGCGUGGAUAAGACAUGCAAGUCGAACGCUGAUUUUCAAAUAGCAAUAUUGGAGAGUCAGAGUGGCGCAAGGGUGCGUAACACGUGGGCAAUCUACCGCGAAGACUGGAAUAACCUGCUGAAAGGCGGGCUAAUGCCGGAUGUGAUUACCUGGGGGAUUCCUUGGGUACUCAAAGUUGGGGACCGAAAGGCCUGACGCUUUGCGAUGAGCCCGCGGCCUAUCAGCUAGUUGGCGGGGUAACGGCCCACCAAGGCUAAGACGGGUAGCUGGUCUGAGAGGACGACCAGCCACACUGGAACUGAGACACGGUCCAGACACCUACGGGUGGCAGCAGUCGAGAAUUUUUCACAAUGGGCGAAAGCCUGAUGGAGCGACGCCGCGUGGGGGAUGAAGGGCUUCGGCUCGUAAACCCCUGUCAUUCGAGAACAAACCCUGUGAUUAAAUAGAUCACGGGCUGAUAGUAUCGGAAGAGGAAGGGACGGCUAACUCUGUGCCAGCAGCCGCGGUAAUACAGAGGUCCCAAGCGUUGUUCGGAUUUACUGGGCGUAAAGGGUGCGUAGGCGGCGAGGGAAGUUCGGGGUGAAAUCUCCAGGCUCAACUUGGAAAAUGCCUUGAAGACUCCCUUGCUAGAGGAUCGCAGAGGAGACUGGAAUUCUCGGUGUAGCAGUGAAAUGCGUAGAUAUCGAGAGGAACACCAGUGGCGAAAGCGGGUCUCUAGGCGAUACCUGACGCUGAGGCACGAAAGCCAGGGGAGCAAACGGGAUUAGAUACCCCGGUAGUCCUGGCCCUAAANCGGUGCGCACUUGCUGUGAGCAGAUUUAAAACCUGUUCGUGGCGAAGUAACCACGAUAAGUGCGCCGCCUAG